AUUGAACGCUGGCGGAAUGCUUUACACAUGCAAGUCGAACGGCAGCACGGACUUCGGUCUGGUGGCGAGUGGCGAACGGGUGAGUAAUAUAUCGGAACGUGCCCAGUCGUGGGGGAUAACGUAGUGAAAAUUACGCUAAUACCGCAUACGAUCUACGGAUGAAAGCGGGGGAUCGCAAGACCUCGCGCGAUUGGAGCGGCCGAUAUCAGAUUAGGUAGUUGGUGAGGUAAAGGCUCACCAAGCCAACGAUCUGUAGCUGGUCUGAGAGGACGACCAGCCACACUGGAACUGAGACACGGUCCAGACUCCUACGGGAGGCAGCAGUGGGGAAUUUUGGACAAUGGACGCAAGUCUGAUCCAGCCAUUCCGCGUGCAGGAUGAAGGCCCUCGGGUUGUAAACUGCUUUUGUACAGAACGAAAAGGCUCUUCCUAAUACGAGGGGCUCAUGACGGUACUGUAAGAAUAAGCACCGGCUAACUACGUG
rnacentral:rRNA from 1 species